rnacentral:rRNA from 1 species
UAGGGAAUCUUCGGCAAUGGGGGGAACCCUGACCGAGCAACGCCGCGUGAGUGAAGAAGGUUUUCGGAUCGUAAAGCUCUGUUGUUAAGGAAGAACGAGUGUGAGAAUGGAAAGUUCAUGCUGUGACGGUACUUAACCAGAAAGGGACGGCUAACUACGUGCCAGCAGCCGCGGUAAUACGUAGGUCCCGAGCGUUGUCCGGAUUUAUUGGGCGUAAAGCGAGCGCAGGCGGUUAGAAAAGUCUGAAGUGAAAGGCAGUGGCUCAACCAUUGUAGGCUUUGGAAACUGUUUAACUUGAGUGCAGAAGGGGAGAGUGGAAUUCCAUGUGUAACGGUGGAAUGCGUAGAUAUAUGGAGGAACACCGGUGGCGAAAGCGGCUCUCUGGUCUGUAACUGACGCUGAGGCUCGAAAGCGUGGGGAGCGAACAGG